UACAGGGGGCGAGCGUUAUUCGGAAUUACUGGGCGUAAAGGGCUCGUAGGCGGCCAACUAAGUCAGACGUGAAAUCCCUCGGCUUAACCGGGGAACUGCGUCUGAUACUGGAUGGCUUGAGUUUGGGAGAGGGAUGCGGAAUUCCAGGUGUAGCGGUGAAAUGCGUAGAUAUCUGGAGGAACACCGGUGGCGAAGGCGGCAUCCUGGACCAACACUGACGCUGAGGAGCGAAAGCCAGGGGAGCAAACGGG
rnacentral:rRNA from 1 species